rnacentral:rRNA from 1 species
GACGAACGCUGGCGGCGUGCUUAACACAUGCAAGUCGAACGGAAAGGCCCAGCUUGCUGGGUACUCGAGUGGCGAACGGGUGAGUAACACGUGGGUGAUCUGCCCUGCACUCUGGGAUAAGCCUGGGAAACUGGGUCUAAUACCGGAUAUGACCAACUGUCUCAUGGUGGUUGGUGGAAAGCUUUUGCGGUGUGGGAUGGGCCCGCGGCCUAUCAGCUUGUUGGUGGGGUAAUGGCCUACCAAGGCGACGACGGGUAGCCGACCUGAGAGGGUGAUCGGCCACACUGGGACUGAGACACGGCCCAGACUCCUACGGGAGGCAGCAGUGGGGAAUAUUGCACAAUGGGCGCAAGCCUGAUGCAGCGACGCCGCGUGAGGGAUGACGGCCUUCGGUUGUAAACCUCUUUCACCAGGGACGAAGCGUGAGUGACGGUACCUGGAGAAGAAGCACCGGCCAACUACGUGCCAGCAG